rnacentral:rRNA from 1 species
UGGGGAAUAUUGGGCAAUGGGGGAAACCCUGACCCAGCAACGCCGCGUGAAGGAAGAAGGUUUUCGGAUCGUAAACUUCUAUCCUUGGUGAAGAGAAGAAGACGGUAGCCAAGAAGGAAGCCCCGGCUAACUACGUGCCAGCAGCCGCGGUAAUACGGAGGGUGCAAGCGUUGUCCGGAAUCAUUGGGCGUAAAGAGUUCGUAGGUGGUAUGUUAAGUCUGGUGUUAAAGCCCGAAGCUCAACUUCGGUUCGGCACUGGAUACUGGCAAACUUGAAUGUGGUAGAGGUAAAGGGAAUUCCUGGUGUAGCGGUGAAAUGCGUAGAUAUCAGGAGGAACAUCGGUGGCGUAAGCGCUUUACUGGGCCAUAAUUGACACUGAGGAACGAAAGCCGGGGUAGCAAAUG